AUCGGGUCUCGUACGAUCACUGAAGUUAAGCAACGUAGAACUGGGUCAGUACCUGUAUGGGUGACCGCUUGGGAAUAUCAGGUGCUAUA